UACGGAGGGUGCGAGCGUUGUCCGGAAUCACUGGGCGUAAAGGGCGCGUAGGCGGCCUGGCAAGUCGAUGGUGAAAGCCCGAGGCUUAACUUCGGGUCGGCCACUGAUACUGCUAGGCUUGAGUCGACUAGAGGCAGAUGGAAUUCCGGGUGUAGCGGUGGAAUGCGUAGAGAUCCGGAAGAACACCGGUGGCGAAGGCGGUCUGCUGGGGUCGAACUGACGCUGAGGCGCGACAGCGUGGGGAGCAAACAGG
rnacentral:rRNA from 1 species